UGGGGGUCUGGAGGUCUGGGGGUCUGGCAUAUCUUUAAAGAAAAACAUUGAAGUCUUUGAUGUUUUCAGGUUUCUCGUCGACAGAAGUCUCCACUGAGCUCCAGGGCGCCGCCACAGGUGGGGGCUCCAGCAGCAGCCGCUCAUCGGUGCUCCUGGUCCUGGCCGCGGUCGCUGCUCUCCUCUGAGUCCUGGAGGAGGAAUCGAACCCUCGACCGUUUCUGUCGACCUUGAAGGAAAACUACAUUUUAAUCUCAUCAUAAUUUCAUUGGCCCAGAGACGGUUGGUACCUCCCAGUGGACCGCACCACCUGCAGGGGGGGGGGGCACGGUGUGACCUGGGUGGAGGUCGUGGAGACUGCUGACCCCGCGACCCGGUGAUUGAUGGACAGAUGGACAGAUGGUGGUGGUGGUGGUGGGGGGGGGUCCACUCUUAACCUCCAGUUCCAGGUGACAACAGUAACAGCAGGUGAUUUGGGUCUUUAUGUUUAUGUUUAUGUUUAUGUUUAUGUUUAUGUUUAUGUUUAUGUUUAUGUUUAUGUUCUCCGUCAGUGAUUGGCUCCAUUAGAUCCACGGUGCCUCCAACAGGCGUCUCUGCUGCCCCCUGGUGUCGUUUCUGUAUAGGUGUAGUUAAAAAAGGUUUUAUUUUCCAGCAGAAUUCCGACCCGGUGGAGAACCGGUGGAGAACCGGGUCGGUUGACACACGUUCUCCUGUGUCACUGAUCAAAACACCUCCACGAACCAGAGAUCAUCUCUCCCCGGGCCGUGGUUCUUCAAAACUCUGAAACGCCCCCUAGUGGACGGAAUUAAAACCUUGGGUGAUCAUGUCUUAAAUCUGUUGUCGUUUUUAUUUGUCAUCGUUUUAGAUGUGUUUUAAUCUGCAGAGUUCGACUGUUUCCUGCCAGGACGUCAGGAGGUCACAGGUCACAUGACGCGUGUGUGUGUGUGUGUGUGUGUGUGUGUUCACUGCUGGGAGAAAAACCUUUCUUUUUCUCGUCUUUUGUCUGCGUGGUGGGGCGUGGCCCCUGCGUGGCCCCUGCAGUGUUUCAUCCGCAGACUUCGGUGACACUGACGAGUCUCUCCACCACUUUUUCAAAGACUGUUUUAAGUGCAUCAGUUUUUAACUUUUGUUGCUAAGCAGUGUUGGCCAAAUCUGUGCCGAUUGGCUGGAGAUGGCACGUUUGCCUGGCAACAUCAGCUGAUUGUGGAUUCUGGUGACACUGGCAAUAAAAAAAAAAAAA